rnacentral:lncRNA from 1 species
GUCGACUUACCUGCAAUCCGAUCAGGAAUGUAAUGCAGGGCAGCCCAAGCAUGCUUGCUUCCAUCCGAAUAGCCCAACACCCACAGCUUCUCGGUGACAUUGACAGCAUACGCUAAGUGCAGCAUAUCCAGAGCCGAGGACUCAAGGUCCCUCUUCGGAUCAGGAUCACUUUCCCCAAAUCCCGGUAGAUCAUAUGUCAAGAGGCGGAUGCCAAACUCUUCAAGUAACGCACCCUUGACACCCGGAACACCUACUUCCCAAGAACACAAACAACUUUGAGCUCUACUGCUAAUCUUAGAUGCCUAAGUCUUCUUCUUCGUCGUCUUCUUCUUCUUCACAACUUAACACUAAACUUAUGCAAGAAGGUAAUGUGUGUUUUCUCAAGUUUAUGUUGAUACAAUCCCAUAUCUAACCUUAGAUGCCUAAUUCUUCUUCUUCUUCUUCACAACUUAACACUAAAUUUCUGCAUGCAAGAAGUAAUGUGUGUUUUCUCAAGUUUAUGUUGAAACAAUCCCAUAAUCUAGCCUUGGAUGCCUACUUCUUCUUCUUCAUAACUUAACACUAAACUUUUGCAAGAAGUGAUGUGUGUUUUCUCAAAUUUAUGUUGAAACAAUCCUAUAAUCUAACCUUAGAUGCCUAAUUCUCCUUCUCUUCUUCACAACUAACACUAAUUAUGCAAGAAGUGUUGUGUUUUUCAAGUUUAUGUUGAAACAAUCCCAUAAUCUAACUUAGAUGCACGUUGUAAUAUCAUCGUGACCACCAGCAUAUGAGUUUGUCGACUUACCUGCAAUCCGAUCAGGAAUGUAAUGCAGGGCAGCCCAAGCAUGCUUGCUUCCAUCCGAAUAGCCCAACACCCACAGCUUCUCGGUGACAUUGACAGCAUACGCUAAGUGCAGCAUAUCCAGAGCCGAGGACUCAAGGUCCCUCUUCGGAUCAGGAUCACUUUCCCCAAAUCCCGGUAGAUCAUAUGUCAAGAGGCGGAUGCCAAACUCUUCAAGUAACGCACCCUUGACACCCGGAACACCUACUUCCCA